rnacentral:rRNA from 1 species
AUGAGUGGUAUAUUUUUGUUGAAUCUUGAUUGUAGUGAUACACAUAUUCAUAAUAUUAAAGCCAAAAGAUGCAAAGUUAAUAAUGAUAUUGCAACUUAUUUGUGGCACUACCGUUUAGGUCAUAUUGGUGUAAAGCGCAUGAAGAAACUCCAUGCUGAUGAGCUUUUGGAAUCACUUGAUGCUUGCGAACCAUGCCUCAUGGGCAAUAUGACUAAGACUCCGUUCUCCGGAACAAUGGAGCGAGCAACUGACUUAUUGGAAAUAAUACAUACUGAUGUAUGCGGUCCGAUGAGUGUUGAGGCUCGCGGCGAGUAUCGUUAUUUUCUGACCUUCACAGAUGAUUUAAGCAGAUAUGGGUAUAUCUACUUAAUGAAACAUAAGUCUGAAACAUUUGAAAAGUUCAAAGAAUUUCAGAGUGAAGUGGAAAAUCAUCGUAACAAGAAAAUAAAGUUUAUACGAUCUGAUCGUGGAGGUGAAUAUUUGAGUUAUGAGUUUGGUCUUCAUUUGAAACAAUAUGGAAUAGUUUCGCAACUCACGCCACCUGGAACACCACAAUGUAAUGGUGUGUCCGAACGUCGUAACCGUACUUUAUUAGAUAUGGUGCGAUCUAUGAUGUCUCUUACCGAUUUACCGCUAUCAUUUUGGGGUUAUGCUUUAGAGACGGCUGCAUUCACGUUAAAUAGGGCACCAUCUAAAUCCGUUGAGAUGACACCAUAUGAACUGUGGUUUAGCAAGAAACCUAAGCUGUCAUUUCUUAAAGUUUGGGGUUGUGAUGCUUAUGUGAAAAAACUUCAACCUGAUAAGCUUGAACCGAAAUCGGAGAAAUGUGUCUUCAUAGGAUACCCAAAGGAGAUUGUUUGGUAUACCUUCUAUCACAGAUCCGGAGGCAAGAUAUUCGUUGCUAAGAAUGGAUCCUUUCUAGAGAAGGAGUUUCUCUCGAAAGAAGUGAGUGGGAGGAAAGUAGAACUUGAUGAGGUAAUUGUACCGUCUCCCGAAUUGGAAAGUAGUUCAUCACAUAAAUCAGUUCCAGUGAUUCCUACACCAAUUAGUGAGGAAGCUAAUGAUGAUGAUCAUGAAACUUCAGAACAAGUUGCUACCGAACCUCGUAGGUCAACCAGAGUACGAUCAUGGCGAACCUAUGAACUAUGA